rnacentral:rRNA from 1 species
UACGUAGGGUGCAAGCGUUAAUCGGAAUUACUGGGCGUAAAGCGUGCGCAGGCGGCUUUGCAAGACAGAUGUGAAAUCCCCGGGCUUAACCUGGGAACUGCAUUUGUGACUGCAUGGCUGGAGUGCGGCAGAGGGGGAUGGAAUUCCAGGUGUAGCGGUGAAAUGCGUAGAUAUCUGGAGGAACACCGGUGGCGAAGGCGGCAUCCUGGACCGGCAUUGACGCUGAGGAGCGAAAGCCAGGGGAGCAAACGGG